CGGCGGACGGGUGAGUAACACGUGGGUAACCUACCUAUAAGACUGGGAUAACUUCGGGAAACCGGAGCUAAUACCGGAUAAUAUUUCGAACCGCAUGGUUCGAUAGUGAAAGAUGGUUUUGCUAUCACUUAUAGAUGGACCUGCGCCGUAUUAGCUAGUUGGUAAGGUAACUGCUUACCAAGGCGACGAUACGUAGCCGACCUGAGAGAGUGAUCGGCCACACUGGAACUGAGACACGGUCCAGACUCCUACGGGAGGCAGCAGGG
rnacentral:rRNA from 1 species